rnacentral:rRNA from 1 species
AGCAGUGAGGAAUAUUGGUCAAUAGCCUAACGGCUGAACCAGCAACUUGGAGGAAUGUAUAGCGAAAGUUAAUUGCACCUUAUAUGGUACAAUAUCGAUUUAGUCGAAUAAAAUUCUGGGUGGAAUUAUGAUAAUGACAUUGUCUACCUAUAUUUCUUGACCAAAUUACGUGCCAGCAGUCGCGGCAACACGUUGCAGAUAAGUGUUAUUCAUCCUUAUUUGGUUUAAAGGGUACCUAGACAGUAAACCAAGCCUCUAUGAAAGGAGGGGGGACUAGUUUACUAGAGUUUAAUGUGAGGGGGCUUAUAAGUACUGUCGGUGAAGAGAUGAAAUUCUGUCAUACCCCGUUCGAGGAAAAUUGAUGGCACUGGUUUAGGCGAAAGCAUCCUUUUAUGUAAUAACUGACGUUGAGGGACGAAGGCUUUGGUAACGAACAGGAUUAGAUACCCCAAUAGUCAAGGCAGAAAAUGAUGAGUGUCAUAGAUUAGAUCUAAUUUUAUUCUAUAAAUGAAAGUGUAAGCACUCCACCUCAAGAGUAAUUUGGCAACAUUGGAACUGAAAUCAUUAGACCGUUUCUGAAACCAGUAGUGAAGUAUGUUGUUUAAUUUGAUAAUCCGCAAAGAACCUUACCACAAUUUGAAUAUUUAUUUUUUAUUGUUUUACAAAAGUUAGUAAAAUAAAUAAAUAUAAAUACAAGCGUUGCACGGUUGUCUUCAGUUAAUGUCGUGAGACUUUGGUUAUUUCCAUUAAAUUAACGUAAACCCUUAUUUUAUUUUUACAUAAAAUAGUUCCCCGCUAUAUUGGAUAUGAUAACAGGGAUCAAGACAAGUCAUCAUGACCUAAAUAUUGUGGGCUAUAGACGUGCCACA